AGCUCGAGUUCUCUUCACUGUCGGGCAAAUCUUUCGCCUUUACUAAAGAUUUCCGUGGAGGAGCUUUGCGCGAGUGACCUGUAUUGGGGGCUCUGCUCAGCGCAGAGCC
ensembl:snRNA U5 U5 spliceosomal RNA